rnacentral:misc_RNA from 1 species
AACGCACGAGACCUGCGGACCUGCGGAAGGAUCAUUACCGAGUUUACAACUCCCAAACCCAAUGUGAACCAUACCAAACUGUUGCCUCGGCGGGGUCACGCCCCGGGUGCGUCGCAGCCCCGGAACCAGGCGCCCGCCGGAGGGACCAACCAAACUCUUUCUGUAGUCCCCUCGCGGACGUUAUUUCUUACAGCUCUGAGCAAAAAUUCAAAAUGAAUCAAAACUUUCAGCAAUGGAUCU